rnacentral:rRNA from 1 species
AGGAUGAACGCUGGCGGCGUGCUUAACACAUGCAAGUCGAACGAUGAAGGCUGGAGCUUGCUCUGGCUGGAUUAGUGGCGAACGGGUGAGUAACACGUGAGUAACCUGCCCCAGACUCUGGGAUAAGCGCUGGAAACGGCGUCUAAUACCGGAUACGAGCUUCCACCGCAUGGUGAGGAGCUAGGAAAGAUUUCGGCUGGGAUGGACUCGCGGCCUAUCAGCUUGUUGGUGAGGUAAUGGCUCACCAAGGCGACGACGGGUAGCCGGCCUGAGAGGGUGACCGGCCACACGUGGGACUGAGACACGGCCCAGACUCCUACGGGAGGCAGCAGUGGGGAAUAUUGCACAAGUGGGCGCAAGCCUGAUGCAGCAACGCCGCGU